rnacentral:rRNA from 1 species
UACGUAGGGUGCAAGCGUUGUCCGGAUUUAUUGGGCGUAAAGAGCUCGUAGGCGGUUUGUCGCGUCGGAUGUGAAAACCCAGGGCUCAACCCUGGGCCUGCAUUCGAUACGGGCAGACUAGAGUAUGGCAGGGGAGACUGGAAUUCCUGGUGUAGCGGUGAAAUGCGCAGAUAUCAGGAGGAACACCGGUGGCGAAGGCGGGUCUCUGGGCCAAAACUGACGCUGGAGGAGCGAAAGCGUGGGGAGCGAACAGG